UACGUAGGGGGCAAGCGUUGUCCGAAAUCAUUGGGCGUAAAGCGCGUGUAGGCGGCCAGAAAAGUCCGCUGUGAAAACUCGAGGCUCAACUUCGAGCUGUCGGUGGAAACUUUCUGGCUAGAGUCCGGAAGAGGAGAAUGGAAUUCCUGGUGUAGCGGUGAAAUGCGCAGAUAUCAGGAAGAACACCCGUGGCGAAGGCGGUUCUCUGGGACGGUACUGACGCUGAGACGCGAAAGCGUGGGGAGCAAACAGG
rnacentral:rRNA from 1 species